rnacentral:rRNA from 1 species
AACGAACGCUGGCGGCAUGCCUAACACAUGCAAGUCGAACGAGACCUUCGGGUCUGGUGGCGCACGGGUGCGUAACGCGUGGGAACCUGCCCUUAGGUUCGGAAUAACUCCCGGAAAGGGGUGCUAAUACCGGAUAAUGUCUUCGGACCAAAGAUUUAUCGCCUUUGGAUGGGCCCGCGUUGGAUUAGCUAGUUGGUAGGGUAAAAGCCUACCAAUGGGACGAUCCAUAGCUGGUCUGAGAGGCUGAUCAGCCACACUGGGACUGAGACACGGCCCAGAAUACUACGGGAGGCAGGAGUGGGGAAUAUUGGACAACGGGCGAAAGCAUGAUCCAGCACUGACGCGUGAGUGAUGAAGGCCUUAGGGUUGUAAAGUUCUUUUACCCGGGAUGAUAAUGACGGUACCGGGAGAAUAAGCUCCGGCUAACUCCGUG